UCCCCUCUUCAUGGCCGAGAUAGCCAUGUCUUCGUUGAGGUCCCGGAUCUCAAGUGUGGCCGUGUUGAACCGGACCACAAAGUGUCGUAGAGUCUCAUUUUCUCCCUGCUUGAGGGAGAAAAGACUGUCUGAGGUUCGCGGCGGCUUCCGACUGGUGCUGAAAUGGGCCACGAAAGAAUGCUCGAGCUGUCUGAAGGAG
rnacentral:lncRNA from 1 species